rnacentral:tRNA from 1 species
GCCUGAGUGGCUCAGUCGGUUGAGUGUCUGACUUUGGCUCGGGUCGUGAUCUCACAACUCUGUGAGUUCGAGCCCCGCAUCGGGCU